rnacentral:lncRNA from 1 species
AAAGGCGAGGACAGUGACAUCGAUGCCCUAACUGCUGAGAUCGAGGGAGCCGGAGCAGCGAAAGACCAGGGCAAAGGAAAAGGCAAAAAGAAGAAGGGGAAACAAAAAGAUGAGUUUGAGUAAGUCCUCCUCCCCUCACAUUUGCUCAGGCACAUGUUUACAUCUGCUUAGGACGUGUCCGAGGUUUACACUCUCCUUGCUUUUCCUGCAGUGAGGAUGAAAUCCUGAAGGAAAUUGAAGAGCUGACUUUGGAAUCCGGUGGAGGAAAAGCCAACAAGGAGCCACCAAAGAAAUCUGACAGUCUAGAGGAAAACGAGCCUGUGGCCCCCAAGGAGAAAAAGAAGACCCGUGGAGGCAAAGGAAAGCGGACCAG